rnacentral:pre_miRNA from 1 species
GUUUUUUUAGGUUUUGAUUUUUAUUACAUCUUUGUACAAAAAUCAAAACGUAAAGAAAAUG